GAGGGAAGUGAUGUUGUGAUUACCGCCCCAGUCUGAUUUUGAGCUGACUGAUUGGUAUCCUCUGAUCCAUC
ensembl:snoRNA SNORD31 Small nucleolar RNA SNORD31